AAAUUGAAGAGUUUGAUCAUGGCUCAGAUUGAACGCUGGCGGCAGGCCUAACACAUGCAAGUCGAACGGUAACAGGAAGAAGCUUGCUUCUUUGCUGACGAGUGGCGGACGGGUGAGUAAUGUCUGGGAAACUGCCUGAUGGAGGGGGAUAACUACUGGAAACGGUAGCUAAUACCGCAUAACGUCGCAAGACCAAAG
rnacentral:rRNA from 1 species